rnacentral:rRNA from 1 species
GAUGAACGCUAGCGGGAGGCUUAACACAUGCAAGUCGAGGGGCAGCAUAGGGUAGCAAUACUCUGAUGGCGACCGGCAAACGGGUGAGUAACGCGUAUGCAACCUACCCUGUACAGGGGGAUAACCCGGAGAAAUUCGGACUAAUAUCCCGUAAUAAUAUCCGGAGGCAUCUUUGGAUAUUUAAAGUUUCGACGGUACGGGAUGGGCAUGCGUAACAUUAGCUGGUUGGUAAGGUAACGGCUUACCAAGGCUAUGAUGUUUAGGGGUCCUGAGAGGGUGGUCCCCCAACUGGUACUGAGACACGGACCAGACUCCUACGGGAGGCAGCAGUGAGGAAUAUUGGUCAAUGGGCGCAAGCCUGAACCAGCCAUCCCGCGUGCAGGAAGACGGCCCUAUGGGUUGUAAACUGCUUUUCCAGGGAGAGAACUUACGCACGUGUUGCGUGACUGACGGUACCCUGGGAAUAAGCAUCGGCUAACUCCGUGCCCAGCAGCCGCGGUAAACUACUCGUAA